AGAGUUUGAUCAUGGCUCAGAUUGAACGCUGGCGGCAUGCCUUACACAUGCAAGUCGAACGGCAGCAUGAUCUAGCUUGCUAGAUUGAUGGCGAGUGGCGAACGGGUGAGUAAUACAUCGGAACGUGCCCUGUAGUGGGGGAUAACUAGUCGAAAGAUUAGCUAAUACCGCAUACGACCUGAGGGUGAAAGUGGGGGACCGCAAGGCCUCAUGCUAUAGGAGCGGCCGAUGUCUGAUUAGCUAGUUGGUGAGGUAAAGGCUCACCAAGGCGACGAUCAGUAGCUGGUCUGAGAGGACGAUCAGCCACACUGGGACUGAGACACGGCCCAGACUCCUACGGGAGGCAGCAGUGGGGAAUUUUGGACAAUGGGCGAAAGCCUGAUCCAGCAAUGCCGCGUGUGUGAAGAAGGCCUUCGGGUUGUAAAGCACUUUUGUCCGGAAAGAAAUGGCUCUGGUUAAUACCUGGGGUCGAUGACGGUACCGGAAGAAUAAGGACCGGCUAACUACGUGCCAGCAGCCGCGGUAAUACGUAGGGUCCAAGCGUUAAUCGGAAUUACUGGGCGUAAGGCGUGCGCAGGCGGUUGUGCAAGACCGAUGUGAAAUCCCCGAGCUUAACUUGGGAAUUGCAUUGGUGACUGCACGGCUAGAGUGUGUCAGAGGGGGGUAGAAUUCCACGUGUAGCAGU
rnacentral:rRNA from 1 species